rnacentral:rRNA from 1 species
GAUGAACGCUGGCGGCGUGCCUAAUACAUGCAAGUCGAGCGAACAGACGAGGAGCUUGCUCCUCUGACGGUAGCGGCGUACGGGUGAGUAACACGUGGAUAACCUACCUAUAAGACUGGGAUAACUUCGGGAAGCCGGAGCUAAUACCGGAUAAUAUAUUGAACCGCAGGGUUCAAUAGUGAAAGACGGUUUUGCUGUCACUUAGAUAUGGAUCCGCGCCGCAUUAGCUAGUUGGUAAGGUAACGGCUUACCAAGGCAACGAUGCGUAGCCGACCUGAGAGGGUGAUCGGCCACACUGGAACUGAGACACGGUCCAGACUCCUACGGGAGGCAGCAGUAGGGAAUCUUACGCAAUGGGCGAAAGCCUGACGGAGCAACGCCGCGUGAGUGAUGAAGGUCUUCGGAUCGUAAAACUCUGUUAUUAGGGAAGAACAAAUGUGUAAGUAACUAUGCACGUCUUGACGGUACCUAAUCAGAAAGCAACGGCUAACUACGUG